rnacentral:rRNA from 1 species
UUAGAGUUUGAUCCUGGCUCAGGAUGAACUCUAGCGACAGGCUUAACACAUGCAAGUCGAGGGGCAGCAUGAGGGUAGCAAUACUCUUGAUGGCGACCGGCGCACGGGUGCGUAACACGUAUGCAACCUACCCCGCAUUGGAGAAUAACCCGGAGAAAUCCGGACUAAUGCUCCAUGGUAACAUGGUGAGGCAUCUCAUUAUGUUUAAAGAUUCAUUGAUACGGGAUGGGCAUGCGGAUGAUUAGCUAGUCGGCGGGGUAACGGCCCACCGAGGCGACGAUCAUUAGGGGUUCUGAGAGGAAGGUCCCCCACAUUGGUACUGAGACACGGACCAAACUCCUACGGGAGGCAGCAGUGAGGAAUAUUGGUCAAUGGGCGAGAGCCUGAACCAACCAAGUCCCGUGAGGGAAGACCGCCCUAUGGGUUGUAAACCUCUUUUGUUUGGGAAUAAAGUGCGCCAUGCGUGGUGUUUUUUAUGUUCCAUAGGAAUAAGGAUCGGCUAACUCCGUGCCAGCAGCCGCGGUAAUACGGAGGAUCCGAGUGUUAUCCGGAUUUAUUGGGUUUAAAGGGUGCGUAGGCGGGAGAUCAAGUCAGUGGUGAAAUGGUGCGGCUCAACCAUAGCAUUGCCGUUGAAACUGGUUUUCUUGAGUGCGAAUGAGGUGGGCGGAAUGUGUCAUGUAGCGGUGAAAUGCUUAGAUAUGACACAGAACACCGAUUGCGAAGGCAGCUCACUGGGACGCAACUGACGCUGAGGCACGAAAGUGCGGGGAUCGAACAGGAUUAGAUACCCUGGUAGUCCGCACAGUAAACGAUGAAUGCUAGGUGUGCGGGGACUGACCCCCUGCGUGCCGCAGUUAACACAAUAAGUAUUCCACCUGGGGAGUACGAUCGCAAGGUUGAAACUCAAAGGAAUUGACGGGGGCCCGCACAAGCGGUGGAUUAUGUGGUUUAAUUCGAAGCAACGCGAAGAACCUUACCAGGUCUUGACAUGGGAAUGACAGGUCGGUAACGCGACCCUUCCUUCGGGACAUUCCACACAGGUGGUGCAUGGUUGUCGUCAGCUCGUGCCGUGAGGUGUCGGCUUAAGUGCCAUAACGAGCGCAACCCCUGCCGCCAGUUGCCAGCGAGUUAAGUUGGGGACUCUGGCGGGACUGCCACCGCAAGGUGCGAGGAAGGCGGGGAUGACGUCAAAUCAGCACGGCCCUUACGUCCGGGGCGACACACGUGUUACAAUGGGGGGUACAGAGGGCAGCGACCUGGCGACAGGGAGCGAAUCUCAGAAAGCCCCUCUCAGUUCGGAUCGGAGUCUGCAACUCGACUCCGUGAAGCUGGAUUCGCUAGUAAUCGCGCAUCAGCCAUGGCGCGGUGAAUACGUUCCCGGGCCUUGUACACACCGCCCGUCAAG